AUUUUUAUUGGUUUUUU
rnacentral:sRNA from 1 species